rnacentral:rRNA from 1 species
UAGGGAAUCUUGCGCAAUGGAGGAAACUCUGACGCAGCGACGCCGCGUGGGUGAUGAAGGCUUUCGGGUCGUAAAGCCCUGUCGGAAGGGAAGAAAAACGGUGUUGUUAAUACCAGCGCCGAUUGACGGUACCUUUAAAGGAAGCACCGGCUAACUACGUGCCAGCAGCCGCGGUAAUACGUAGGGUGCAAGCGUUGUUCGGAAUCAUUGGGCGUAAAGCGCGUGUAGGCUGCUAGUUAAGUCGGAUGUGAAAUCCCUGGGCUCAACCGAGGAAGUGCAUUCGAAACUGGCUGGCUAGAGAAUGGUAGAGGAAGGUGGAAUUCCAAGUGUAGAGGUGAAAUUCGUAGAUAUUUGGAGGAAUACCGGUGGCGAAGGCGGCCUUCUGGGCCAUUUCUGACGCUGAGACGCGAAAGCGUGGGGAGCAAACAGGAUUAGAUACCCCCGUAGUCC